GACGUAGGGGGCGAGCGUUGUCCGGAAUUAUUGGGCGUAAAGCGCGCGCAGGCGGCCCGGUAAGUCGGAUGUGAAAACCUGGGGCUCAACCCUGGGGGGUCAUUCGAUACUGCUGGGCUCGAGGCAGGUAGAGGAGAGUGGAAUUCCCGGUGUAGCGGUGGAAUGCGCAGAUAUCGGGAGGAACACCGGUGGCGAAGGCGGCUCUCUGGGCCUGUCCUGACGCUCAGGCGCGAAAGCUGGGGGAGCGAACAGG
rnacentral:rRNA from 1 species